GGGUUGUGAGGUUAAGCGACUAAGCGUACACGGUGGAUGCCCUGGCAGUCAGAGGCGAUGAAGGACGUGCUAAUCUGCGAAAAGCGUCGGUAAGGUGAUAUGAACCGUUAUAGCCGGCGAUGUCCGAAUGGGGAAACCCAGUGCAAUUCGUUGCACUAUCGUUUGAUGAAUACAUAGUCAAACGAGGCGAACCGGGGGAACUGAAACAUCUAAGUACCCCGAGGAAAAGAAAUCAACCGAGAUUCCCCCAGUAGCGGCGAGCGAACGGGGAGCAGCCCGGAGUCUGAAUCAGCUUGUGUGUUAGUGGAAGCGUCUGGAAAGUCGCAGGGUACAGGGUGAUACUCCCGUACACUAAAACGCACAGGCUGUGAACUCGAAGAGUAGGGCGGGACACGUGGUAUCCUGUCUGAAUAUGGGGGGACCAUCCUCCAAGGCUAAAUACUCCUGACUGACCGAUAGUGAACCAGUACCGUGAGGGAAAGGCGAAAAGAACCCCGGCGAGGGGAGUGAAAAAGAACCUGAAACCGUGUACGUACAAGCAGUAGGAGCCUCUUUAUGGGGUGACUGCGUACCUUUUGUAUAAUGGGUCAGCGACUUAUAUUCUGUAGCAAGGUUAACCGUAUAGGGGAGCCGCAGGGAAACCGAGUCUUAACUGGGCGUUAAGUUGCAGGGUAUAGACCCGAAACCCGGUGAUCUAGCCAUGGGCAGGUUGAAGGUUGGGUAACACUAACUGGAGGACCGAACCGACUAAUGUUGAAAAAUUAGCGGAUGACUUGUGGCUGGGGGUGAAAGGCCAAUCAAACCGGGAGAUAGCUGGUUCUCCCCGAAAGCUAUUUAGGUAGCGCCUCGUGAACUCAUCUUCGGGGUAGAGCACUGUUUCGGCUAGGGGGUCAUCCCGACUUACCAACCCGAUGCAAACUACGAAUACCGAAGAAUGUUAUCACGGGAGACACACGGCGGGUGCUAACGUCCGUCGUGAAGAGGGAAACAACCCAGACCGCCAGCUAAGGUCCCAAAGUCAUGGUUAAGUGGGAAACGAUGUGGGAAGGCCCAGACAGCCAGGAUGUUGGCUUAGAAGCAGCCAUCAUUUAAAGAAAGCGUAAUAGCUCACUGGUCGAGUCGGCCUGCGCGGAAGAUGUAACGGGGCUAAACCAUGCACCGAAGCUGCGGCAGCGACACUAUGUGUUGUUGGGUAGGGGAGCGUUCUGUAAGCCGUUGAAGGUGGCCUGUGAGGGUUGCUGGAGGUAUCAGAAGUGCGAAUGCUGACAUAAGUAACGAUAAUGCGGGUGAAAAACCCGCACGCCGGAAGACCAAGGGUUCCUGUCCAACGUUAAUCGGGGCAGGGUGAGUCGACCCCUAAGGCGAGGCCGAAAGGCGUAGUCGAUGGGAAACAGGUUAAUAUUCCUGUACUCGGUGUUACUGCGAAGGGGGACGGAGAAGGCUAUGUUGGCCGGGCGACGGUUGUCCCGGUUUAAGCAUGUAGGCGGAUGUUCCAGGUAAAUCCGGAACGUUAUUAACGCUGAGGUGUGAUGACGAGGCACUACGGUGCUGAAGUGACAAAUGCCCUGCUUCCAGGAAAAGCCUCUAAGCAUCAGGUAACAUCAAAUCGUACCCCAAACCGACACAGGUGGUCAGGUAGAGAAUACCAAGGCGCUUGAGAGAACUCGGGUGAAGGAACUAGGCAAAAUGGUGCCGUAACUUCGGGAGAAGGCACGCUGAUAUGUAGGUGAAGUGGUUUACCCAUGGAGCUGAAAUCAGUCGAAGAUACCAGCUGGCUGCAACUGUUUAUUAAAAACACAGCACUGUGCAAACACGAAAGUGGACGUAUACGGUGUGACGCCUGCCCGGUGCCGGAAGGUUAAUUGAUGGGGUUAUCCGUAAGGAGAAGCUCUUGAUCGAAGCCCCGGUAAACGGCGGCCGUAACUAUAACGGUCCUAAGGUAGCGAAAUUCCUUGUCGGGUAAGUUCCGACCUGCACGAAUGGCGUAAUGAUGGCCAGGCUGUCUCCACCCGAGACUCAGUGAAAUUGAACUCGCUGUGAAGAUGCAGUGUACCCGCGGCAAGACGGAAAGACCCCGUGAACCUUUACUAUAGCUUGACACUGAACACUGGUCCUUGAUGUGUAGGAUAGGUGGGAGGCUUUGAAGUGUGGACGCCAGUCUGCAUGGAGCCAUCCUUGAAAUACCACCCUUUAAUGGCUGGUGUUCUAACGUGGGCCCCUAAUCGGGGUUGCGGACAGUGUCUGGUGGGUAGUUUGACUGGGGCGGUCUCCUCCUAAAGAGUAACGGAGGAGCACGAAGGUCAGCUAAUCCUGGUCGGACAUCAGGAGGUUAGUGCAAUGGCAUAAGCUGGCUUGACUGCGAGCGUGACGGCGCGAGCAGGUGCGAAAGCAGGUCAUAGUGAUCCGGUGGUUCUGAAUGGAAGGGCCAUCGCUCAACGGAUAAAAGGUACUCCGGGGAUAACAGGCUGAUACCGCCCAAGAGUUCAUAUCGACGGCGGUGUUUGGCACCUCGAUGUCGGCUCAUCACAUCCUGGGGCUGAAGUAGGUCCCAAGGGUAUGGCUGUUCGCCAUUUAAAGUGGUACGCGAGCUGGGUUUAGAACGUCGUGAGACAGUUCGGUCCCUAUCUGCCGUGGGCGCUGGAGAAUUGAGGGGGCUGCUCCUAGUACGAGAGGACCGGAGUGGACGCAUCACUGGUGUUCGGGUUGUCAUGCCAAUGGCAUUGCCCGGUAGCUAAAUGCGGAAGAGAUAAGUGCUGAAAGCAUCUAAGCACGAAACUUGCCCCGAGAUGAGUUCUCCCUGACUCCUUGAGAGUCCUGAAGGAACGUUGAAGACGACGACGUUGAUAGGCCGGGUGUGUAAGCGCAGCGAUGCGUUGAGCUAACCGGUACUAAUGAACCGUGAGGCUUAACCUUACAACGCCGAAG
rnacentral:rRNA from 1 species